UACCAGCACCCCGAGUGGUCGGGACGAUUAUUGGGCCUAAAGCAUCCGUAGCCGGCCUUACAAGUCCUCCGUUAAAUCCAGCUGCUUAACAGAUGGGCUGCGGAGGAUACUAUAAGACUAGGAGGCAGGAGAGGCAAGCGGUACUCAGUGGGUAGGGGUAAAAUCCGUUGAUCCAUUGAAGACCACCAGUGGCGAAGGCGGCUUGCCAGAAUGCGCUCGACGGUGAGGGACGAAAGCUGGGGGAGCAAACCGG
rnacentral:rRNA from 1 species